GUGAAUUUUAUAGAAAAUAUUUCAUAUUAAAGUUGUGAAUUAUCUAAAAAUAUAUUACAUCAAUAUUAAUAAAAACGAGGUUGGUAGUAUUCUAACAUACACCGACUUCCAACGAUACAUACAGAUUAUAAUUCUUCGAUCUGUCAUAUUCAAUACUUGACACAAGUUGUAGUGAAGUUUUUACUUAGAAAAUGUCAUUUCAAGAGAAAAUUGCGUCGUUAAUGACCCGUCCGGGUCAAGAAAAUCAGCCACAAGAUGAUACUCCUUGGUGGAUGAAAUAUGCUGGUCGGGGGUUGGGAACAGUCGGAAGUGGAUUUGCAAUUUUAUUUGGAUUAUACAAUUGUUUUGGAAUACUUCUUGGUGAUGUUAGUUGUCUGUUAGGUGGUAUGUGGCAAAUGCUUGCAGGAUUUUUAGUGAUUGUUUGCGAAGCACCUUGUUGUUGCUUGUUUAUUGAUUUCGUGCAGCAGAUUAGUGAUUUUGUUGAUAAACGUCCUAAUUGGAAUAAAGCCGUUUUAUAUAUGGGAAUUGCCAUACCGCCGAUUAUGUUUUGUCCUGGUCUUGGCAGUAUUUUUGGCAGUGGUCUUAUUUUUGGAACGGGUGUUAUUUAUGGAAUGAUAGCACUUGGAAGAAAAGGAUCACGGCAAGAUAUGGCCGCGAUGGCAUCACCGGGAGCUUUGAGUCCUACUGGAGGGGUGGGGGGUGUUCCUGGCGAUCAUCACACUACACUAAUGGAGGAUCCAGAUGUAUGGCGUCCAACUUAAAUAUCUUCAUGUCAUCAUCAUCAACCCGCGCGCGCGCUUCUACAUUAGCCUCCUGUUGUUUAAAAUCGUCCUUAUCUUCAUAGACUUCUAACACUAACGGCUUCAGCAGAAGAAAUGCGUAAUAAUGCAAUAGCAGCAGGCUUGGCACCACAAAGUAAACCAGAUAGUGCCGUGCGGAUACCACCACAACUAUCAUCGAAUAUGCGCUCCA